rnacentral:tRNA from 1 species
ACCCUGAUAGCUUAUCUUUAAAGCGUAGAUCUUGUAAAUCUAAAAUGGGAAUACAGCCUCUCCCUCAGUGUA